AGAAUCAACGCUGGCGGCGUGCCUAACACAUGCAAGUCGAACGAGAAAGUGGGAGCAAUCCCACGAGUAAAGUGGCGCACGGGUGAGUAACACGUGACUAACCUACCCUUGAGUGGGGGAUAACCUAGGGAAACCUGGGCUAAUACCGCAUAAUACCUACGGGUCAAAGGAGCAAUUCGCUUUAGGAGGGGGUCGCGGCAGAUUAGUUAGUUGGCGGGGUAAUGGCCCACCAAGACAGUGAUCUGUAUCCGGCCUGAGAGGGCGCACGGACACACUGGAACUGAAACACGGUCCAGACUCCUACGGGAGGCAGCAGUGGGGAAUUUGCGCAAUGGGGGAAACCCUGACGCAGCAACGCCGCGUGGAGGAUGAAGCCCCUUGGGGUGUAAACUCCUUUCGAUCGGGAAGAUAAUGACGGUACCGAUAUAAGAAGCCCGGCUAACUUCGCGCCAGCAGCCGC
rnacentral:rRNA from 1 species